UACGGAGGGAGCUAGCGUUAUUCGGAAUUACUGGGCGUAAAGCGCACGUAGGCGGCUUUGUAAGUUAGAGGUGAAAGCCUGGAGCUCAACUCCAGAACUGCCUUUAAGACUGCAUCGCUUGAUCCAGGAGAGGUGAGUGGAAUUCCGAGUGUAGAGGUGAAAUUCGUAGAUAUUCGGAAGAACACCAGUGGCGAAGGCGGCUCACUGGACUGGUAUUGACGCUGAGGUGCGAAAGCGUGGGGAGCAAACAGG
rnacentral:rRNA from 1 species